UACGAAGGGGGCUAGCGUUGCUCGGAAUCACUGGGCGUAAAGGGCGCGUAGGCGGCCUUCUAAGUCGGACGUGAAAUCCCUCGGCUUAACCGAGGAACUGCGUCCGAUACUGAAAGGCUUGAAUCCGGGAGAAGGAUGUGGAAUUCCAGGUGUAGCGGUGAAAUGCGUAGAUAUCUGGAGGAACACCGGUGGCGAAGGCGGCCUUCUGGACAGUGACUGACGCUGAGACGCGAAAGCGUGGGGAGCAAACAGG
rnacentral:rRNA from 1 species